rnacentral:rRNA from 1 species
CCUACGGGGGGCAGCAGUGAGGAAUAUUGGUCAAUGGACGAGAGUCUGAACCAGCCAAGUAGCGUGGAGGAUGACUGCCCUAUGGGUUGUAAACUUCUUUGAUAAAGGAAUAAAACGAGGCACGUGUGCCUUUUUGCAUGUACUGUAUGAAUAAGGAUCGGCUAACUCCGUGCCAGCAGCCGCGGUAAUACGGAGGAUACGAGCGUUAUCCGGAUUUAUUGGGUUUAAAGGGAGCGUAGAUGGGUUGUUAAGUCAGUUGUGAAAGUUUGCGGCUUAACCGUAAAAUUGCAAUUGAUACUGGCAGUCUUGAGUACAGUUGAGGUAGGCGGAAUUCGUGGUGUAGCGGUGAAAUGCUUAGAUAUCACGAAGAACUCCGAUUGCGAAGGCAGCUUACUAGUCUGCCACUGACGUUGAUGCUCGAAAGUGUGGGUAUCAAACAGGAUUAGAUACCCGAGUAGUC